GACGAACGCUGGCGGCGUGCUUAAUACAUGCAAGUAGAACGCUGAAGAGAGGAUCUUGCUCUUCUCGGAUGAGUUGCGAACGGGUGAGUAACGCGUAGGUAACCUGCCUUGUAGCGGGGGAUAACUAUUGGAAACGAUAGCUAAUACCGCAUAACCAUGGUUGACACAUGUGGUUUAUUUGAAUGGGGCAAUUGCUCCACUACCACAUGGACUUGCGUUGUAUUAGCUAGUAGGUGAGGUAAUGGCUCACCUAGGCGGCGAUACAUAGCCGACCUGAGAGGGUGGUCGGCCACACUGGGAGUGGGACAGGGCCCAGAGGCCUGCGGGAGGCAGCAGUAGGGAAUCUGCGGCAAUGGGGGCAACCCUGACCGAGCAGGGCCGCGUGAGUGAAGAAGGUUUUCGGGUCGGAAAGCUCGGUUGUAGGUUGAGAACGGGUGUGAGAGUGGAAAGAUCACUGUGUGACGGUAGCGGAUAAGAAAGGAACGGCUAACUACGUG
rnacentral:rRNA from 1 species